CUGGUUGACAAGUUGCUAACACAUCUGCUUUGACAAGUUGCUAACACAUCUGCUUUGACAAGUUACUAACACAUCUGCUUUGACAAGUUGCUAACACAUCUGGUUGACAAGUUGCUAACACAUCUGGUUGACAAGUUGCUAACACAUCUGCUUUGACAAGUUGCUAACACAUCUGGUUGACAAGUUGCUAACACAUCUGGUUGACAAGUUGCUAACACAUCUGCUUUGACAAGUUGCUAACACAUCUGCUUUGACAAGUUACUAACACAUCUGGUUGACAAGUUGCUAACACAUCUGGUUGACAAGUUGCUAACACAUCUGGUUGACAAGCUUGCGAACACAUCUGGUUGACAAGUUGCUAACACAUCUGGUUGACAAGUUGCUAACACAUCUGCUUUGACAAGUUGCUAACACAUCUGCUUUGACAAGUUACUAACACAUCUGGUUGACAAGUUGCUAACACAUCUGGUUAACACAGCUUGCGAACACAUCUUGUUGACAAGUUGUGAGAUUUUUACGUGUGUAGUCGUGUCGAGUGUUGAUCGAGUCACGAGUGGAUUCGAGUCAUUGGUUUCACUCGAGUCGAGUUGAGUCAACAGGCAAACAUGAAAUGAGUCGGGAAAUUUGACCAAGUCCACCGCACGGUGGUAAUGGUUCAGUACCCUAGCUUGCACCAGGCUUGCACUUCGUGAAAUUAGUCAUAAAAUUCCCCUUUAAGUCUGGUUCACACCAAUCAUUUUGUCGCUGAUUUUUCUCAUCCUGGCGGAUGUGAUUGAGUGAGUGAUAUUGAUAUAAAAUGAUGAUAUAAAAUCUGAUAUAAACUGAUCAUAUAAAAUCAGGAUUGGAUUCUACAUCCACUGAGGCUGAAGGAACUCAGAAUUGGUCGGAAACAAAUCAAAUCAAAUCAAAUGACAUUGAAUCUUUCUAAAACGUGGGAAAUGGUUGUACAGAGUGGGUCUACGAAACAGCUUGAUGCCAUGUUUUAUAUUCGCCGUCCUUAAAAUAUAAAGCAAAUUAUAUUCUUACUUCAACCAGUUUCAAAUAUCCUCACAUAAACAGCCAUAUAAGAUAUCCGUAUACACAGGCUUUGUUUUCGUGGAUAUGUAAUUUCGUUGAAAUUUUUAACUGAAAGAAACUUCCUUGUAAGUCGUUUUAUUGCCACGUAUGUAGAGCGUCUUGUCCAGACAAGAAUUUGAU
rnacentral:lncRNA from 1 species